AGUGAACGCUGGCGGUAGGCCUAACACAUGCAAGUCGAACGGCAGCACAGUAAGAGCUUGCUCUUACGGGUGGCGAGUGGCGGACGGGUGAGGAAUACAUCGGAAUCUACUUUUUCGUGGGGGAUAACGUAGGGAAACUUACGCUAAUACCGCAUACGACCUACGGGUGAAAGCAGGGGAUCUUCGGACCUUGCGCAAUUGAAUGAGCCGAUGUCGGAUUAGCUAGUUGGCGGGGUAAAGGCCCACCAAGGCGACGAUCCGUAGCUGGUCUGAGAGGAUGAUCAGCCACACUGGAACUGAGGCACGGUCCAGACUCCUACGGGAGGCAGCAGUGGGGAAUAUUGGACAAUGGGCGCAAGCCUGAUCCAGCCAUACCGCGUGGGUGAAGAAGGCCUUCGGGUUGUAAAGCCCUUUUGUUGGGAAAGAAAAGCAGCAGGUUAAUACCCCGCUGUUCUGACGGUACCCAAAGAAUAAGCACCGGCUAACUUCGUG
rnacentral:rRNA from 1 species